UUUGGUUAAGUUAGAAAGGGCGCACGGUGGAUGCCUUGACACUAGGAGUCGAUGAAGGACGGGACUAACGCCGAUAUGCUUCGGGGAGCUGUAAGUAAGCUUUGAUCCGAAGAUUUCCGAAUGGGGAAACCCACCAUACGUAAUGGUAUGGUAUCCUUAUCUGAAUACAUAGGGUAAGGAAGACAGACCCAGGGAACUGAAACAUCUAAGUACCUGGAGGAAGAGAAAGCAAAUGCGAUUUCCUGAGUAGCGGCGAGCGAAACGGAACAUAGCCCAAACCAAGAGGCUUGCCUCUUGGGGUUGUAGGACAUUCUAUACGGAGUUACAAAGGAACGAGGUAGACGAAGCGACCUGGAAAGGUCCGUCGUAGAGGGUAACAACCCCGUAGUCGAAACUUCGUUCUCUCUUGAAUGUAUCCUGAGUACGGCGGAACACGUGAAAUUCCGUCGGAAUCUGGGAGGACCAUCUCCCAAGGCUAAAUACUCCCUAGUGAUCGAUAGUGAACCAGUACCGUGAGGAAAAGGUGAAAAGCACCCCGGAAGGGGAGUGAAAGAGAUCCUGAAACCGUGUGCCUACAAAUAGUCAGAGCCCGUUAACGGGUGAUGGCGUGCCUUUUGUAGAAUGAACCGGCGAGUUACGAUCCCGUGCGAGGUUAAGCUGAAGAGGCGGAGCCGCAGCGAAAGCGAGUCUGAAUAGGGCGUUUAGUACGUGGUCGUAGACCCGAAACCAGGUGAUCUACCCAUGUCCAGGGUGAAGUUCAGGUAACACUGAAUGGAGGCCCGAACCCACGCACGUUGAAAAGUGCGGGGAUGAGGUGUGGGUAGCGGAGAAAUUCCAAUCGAACCUGGAGAUAGCUGGUUCUCCCCGAAAUAGCUUUAGGGCUAGCCUUAAGUGUAAGAGUCUUGGAGGUAGAGCACUGAUUGGACUAGGGGUCCUCAUCGGAUUACCGAAUUCAGUCAAACUCCGAAUGCCAAUGACUUAUCCUUAGGAGUCAGACUGCGAGUGAUAAGAUCCGUAGUCAAAAGGGAAACAGCCCAGACCGCCAGCUAAGGUCCCAAAGUGUGUAUUAAGUGGAAAAGGAUGUGGAGUUGCUUAGACAACUAGGAUGUUGGCUUAGAAGCAGCCACCAUUUAAAGAGUGCGUAAUAGCUCACUAGUCGAGUGACUCUGCGCCGAAAAUGUACCGGGGCUAAAUACACCACCGAAGCUGCGGAUUGAUACCAAUGGUAUCAGUGGUAGGGGAGCGUUCUAAGGACAGUGAAGUCAGACCGGAAGGACUGGUGGAGUGCUUAGAAGUGAGAAUGCCGGUAUGAGUAGCGAAAGACGGGUGAGAAUCCCGUCCACCGAAUGCCUAAGGUUUCCUGAGGAAGGCUCGUCCGCUCAGGGUUAGUCAGGACCUAAGCCGAGGCCGACAGGCGUAGGCGAUGGACAACAGGUUGAUAUUCCUGUACCACCUCUUUAUCGUUUGAGCAAUGGAGGGACGCAGAAGGAUAGAAGAAGCGUGCGAUUGGUUGUGCACGUCCAAGCAGUUAGGCUGAUAAGUAGGCAAAUCCGCUUAUCGUAAAGGCUGAGCUGUGAUGGGGAAGCUCCUUAUGGAGCGAAGUCUUUGAUUCCCCGCUGCCAAGAAAAGCUUCUAGCGAGAUAAAAGGUGCCUGUACCGCAAACCGACACAGGUAGGCGAGGAGAGAAUCCUAAGGUGUGCGAGAGAACUCUGGUUAAGGAACUCGGCAAAAUGACCCCGUAACUUCGGGAGAAGGGGUGCUUUCUUAACGGAAAGCCGCAGUGAAUAGGCCCAAGCGACUGUUUAGCAAAAACACAGCUCUCUGCGAAGCCGUAAGGCGAAGUAUAGGGGGUGACACCUGCCCGGUGCUGGAAGGUUAAGGAGAGGGGUUAGCGUAAGCGAAGCUCUGAACUGAAGCCCCAGUAAACGGCGGCCGUAACUAUAACGGUCCUAAGGUAGCGAAAUUCCUUGUCGGGUAAGUUCCGACCCGCACGAAAGGUGUAACGAUUUGGGCACUGUCUCAACCAGAGACUCGGUGAAAUUAUAGUACCUGUGAAGAUGCAGGUUACCCGCGACAGGACGGAAAGACCCCGUGGAGCUUUACUGUAGCCUGAUAUUGAAUUUUGGUACAGUUUGUACAGGAUAGGCGGGAGCCAUUGAAACCGGAGCGCUAGCUUCGGUGGAGGCGCUGGUGGGAUACCGCCCUGACUGUAUUGAAAUUCUAACCUACGGGUCUUAUCGACCCGGGAGACAGUGUCAGGUGGGCAGUUUGACUGGGGCGGUCGCCUCCUAAAGUGUAACGGAGGCGCCCAAAGGUUCCCUCAGAAUGGUUGGAAAUCAUUCGUAGAGUGCAAAGGCAUAAGGGAGCUUGACUGCGAGACCUACAAGUCGAGCAGGGACGAAAGUCGGGCUUAGUGAUCCGGUGGUUCCGCAUGGAAGGGCCAUCGCUCAACGGAUAAAAGCUACCCCGGGGAUAACAGGCUUAUCUCCCCCAAGAGUCCACAUCGACGGGGAGGUUUGGCACCUCGAUGUCGGCUCAUCGCAUCCUGGGGCUGUAGUCGGUCCCAAGGGUUGGGCUGUUCGCCCAUUAAAGCGGUACGCGAGCUGGGUUCAGAACGUCGUGAGACAGUUCGGUCCCUAUCCGUCGUGGGCGUAGGAAAUUUGAGAGGAGCUGUCCUUAGUACGAGAGGACCGGGAUGGACGCACCGCUGGUGUACCAGUUGUUCUGCCAAGGGCAUAGCUGGGUAGCUAUGUGCGGAAGGGAUAAGUGCUGAAAGCAUCUAA
rnacentral:rRNA from 1 species